rnacentral:lncRNA from 1 species
CCUGCAGUUAACGUCACAUUUGAGAACAUCCGAAACAAAGGCCGUUUUGAAGCUGCCUCUCCUGGCAUCUUUAGGUUUUCUCUUAUAAAGCAGUAUGACUCUAGUUUGCCUUGCCCAUCAACUAAGUGCUAAUUGCACCCCUUGGAGGUGCAUUUAUUGAAGCAAAAAUCAGCACCCUGCAGUCUCGGCGCAUCCUGCAAGCAGAAGGAAGCACUUUCUACGGCUCAGUAGGUAAAUGUCUGGCCUUCUAUUCAGUCCAUUUAUAGAAAGU